rnacentral:rRNA from 1 species
UACAGAGGUCUCAAGCGUUGUUCGGAUUCAUUGGGCGUGAAGGGUGCGUAGGUGGCGCGGUAAGUCGGGUGUGAAAUUUCGGAGCUUAACUCCGAAACUGCAUUCGAUACUGCCGUGCUUGAGGACUGGAGAGGAGACUGGAAUUUACGGUGUAGCGGUGAAAUGCGUAGAUAUCGUAAGGAAGACCAUUGGCGAAGGCGGGUCUCUGGACAGUUCCUGACGCUGAGGCACGAAGGUCAGGGGAGCAAACGGG